rnacentral:rRNA from 1 species
UACGUAGGUGGCAAGCGUUAUCCGGAAUUAUUGGGCGUAAAGCGCGCGCAGGCGGUUUUUUAAGUCUGAUGUGAAAGCCCACGGCUCAACCGUGGAGGGUCAUUGGAAACUGGGGAACUUGAGUGCAGAAGAGAAAAGCGGAAUUCCACGUGUAGCGGUGAAAUGCGUAGAGAUGUGGAGGAACACCAGUGGCGAAGGCGGCUCUUUGGUCUGUAACUGACGCUGAGGCGCGAAAGCGUGGGGAUCAAACAGG